UGAGACCAGCCACUGAGAUGGCUCCACUUCAGUUUCCUGCGUCAGGGGAUGAUGGCCUGUAUCCUUUUCACACUCUCAUUCUGCUGUGGGAACUCAUUUUUUUUUUUUUUUAAAAAGAUUUUAUUUUUUUCCUUUUUCUCCCCAAAGCCCCCCAGUACAUAGCUGUACAUUCUUCGUUGUGGGUUCUUCCAGUUGUGGCAUGUGGGACGCUGCCCCAGCGUGGUCCGAUGAGCAGUGCCAUGUCCGCACCCAGGAUUCGAACCAACGAAACACUGGGCCGCCUGCAGCGGAGCGCGCGAACCCAACCACUCGGCCACGGGUCCAGCCCCAGUGGGAACUCAUUUUAGUAUGUAAAACUGAUCACCCAGUAUCGGCAUGUGUCCUUGAACCCUUUGAUAGUCCUCAAAUAUGGUGGAGAACCUUCCAUCUUGCAUCAGCGCCGCUUCUUCUCUCCUUUUUUUCUUUAUAUUUUUGACCAACCACCUCCCUAGGAUUAUGUCAACGGAUUAGACGUAGGUCUUGCCAAAGCUUUUAGAACACAUCCUCUUGCCGAUUCCCUUAAUCUCAGCACUUCAGUCAGUCGGAAGCUGCCACGAGAGGACAAGAUUUUCCUGGCCACAGAUGCUUUUGGAGUUUCCCUUCUACAGAAGAAUUUCAGGCAGGUUUCCAACAUCUUACAGCGACAAUUCAACUUUGUCCCUGGCAUGUAAGGUACUUAAAACAAAUACGAUCUCUUCAUUCUAUAUUUUAGGCAUUUGUCAGAAAGUCUGGUCUGGAUUUUACUGCACUUUUCUUUCAAAAGACAGAUUAAGACAAUUCAUGUUUGAGAGUUUGAAUUUAAGGCUCUUCUCAACUGCUGUUGCCACAGAUUCUUCCAUGGUCCAAAUGACGAAGACAUCCCUGGAGCAAGGUUUCAUCCAAAUUGUAAGGCAGUAGACAAGGAGCGAUGAGAUGGUUUCUUUUUCCAUUAAUGGGCUGCAUUGUAAUUUAACAGCUAUUUCUUCUUUACUAAGUUGAGUUACAGCCAUUGAUGACCAAAAUGAUAAUACUCAACUUUAAGGUUUUAGUUAGAGCAAUGAAGUAAAUUGUAAAUUGCAGGAGUUGUAAAUUAUGUGUAUAAAUAUAGCAGUGAUUAUAUUCAC
rnacentral:lncRNA from 1 species